rnacentral:rRNA from 1 species
UGCAGUCGAACGGCAGCACGGGAGCAAUCCUGGUGGCGAGAGGCGAACGGGUGAGUAAUAUAUCGGAACGUGCCCAGUCGUGGGGGAUAACGCAGCGAAAGCUGUGCUAAUACCGCAUACGAUCUAUGGAUGAAAGCGGGGGAUCGCAAGACCUCGCGCGAUUGGAGCGGCCGAUAUCAGAUUAGCUAGUUGGUGGGGUAAAAGCCCACCAAGGCGACGAUCUGUAGCUGGUCUGAGAGGACGACCAGCCACACUGGAACUGAGACACGGUCCAGACUCCUACGGGAGGCAGCAGUGGGGAAUUUUGGACAAUGGGCGCAAGCCUGAUCCAGCAAUGCCGCGUGCAGGAUGAAGGCCUUCGGGUUGUAAACUGCUUUUGUACGGAACGAAACGGCUCCUUUUAAUACAAGGGGCUAAUGACGGUACCGUAAGAAUAAGCACCGGCUAACUACGUGCCAGCAGCCGCGGUAAUACGUAGGGUGCGAGCGUUAAUCGGAAUUACUGGGCGUAAAGCGUGCGCAGGCGGUUAUAUAAGACAGAUGUGAAAUCCCCGGGCUCAACCUGGGACCUGCAUUUGUGACUGUAUGGCUAGAGUACGGUAGAGGGGGAUGGAAUUCCGCGUGUAGCAGUGAAAUGCGUAGAUAUGCGGAGGAACACCGAUGGCGAAGGCAAUCCCCUGGACCUGUACUGACGCUCAUGCACGAAAGCGUGGGGAGCAAACAGGAUUAGAUACCCUGGUAGUCCACGCCCUAAACGAUGUCGAAACUGGUUGUUGGGUCUUCACUGACUCAGUAACGAAGCUAACGCGUGAA